rnacentral:rRNA from 1 species
AAUAUUGCACAAUGGGCGCAAGCCUGAUGCAGCCAUGCCGCGUGUAUGAAGAAGGCCUUCGGGUUGUUAAAGUACUUUCAGCAGUGAGGAAGGUGGGUAUGUUAAUAGCAUACUCAUUUGACGUUAGCUGCAGAAGAAGCACCGGCUAACUCCGUGCCAGCAGCCGCGGUAAGUACGGAGGGUGCGAGCGUUAAUCGGAAUUACUGGGCGUAAAGCGCAUGCAGGUGGUUUGUUAAGUCAGAUGUGAAAGCCCGGGGCUCAACCUCGGAAUUGCAUUUGAAACUGGCAAACUAGAGUACUGUAGAGGGGGUAGAAUUUCAGGUGUAGCGGUGAAAUGCGUAGAGAUCUGAAGGAAUACCGGUGGCGAAGGCGGCCCCCUGGACAGAUACUGACACUCAGAUGCGAAAGCGUGGGGAGCAAACAGGAUUAGAUACCCUGGUAG